GAUUAACGCUGGCGGCGUGCCUAAUGCAUGCAAGCCGAACGGCUCGAUUUAUCGAGCAGUGGCAAACGGGUGAGUAACACGUAAGAACCUACCCUCAAGUGGGGGAUAACCCCGAGAAAUCGGGGCUAAUACCGCAUACGCUCUCUGAUUCUGUCAGGGAGGAAAGUUGAGGCGCUUGAGGACGGGCUUGCGUCCGAUUAGCUUGUUGGUGAGGUAAUGGCUCACCAAGGCUGAGAUCGGUAGCUGGUCUUAGAGGAUGAUCAGCCACACUGGGACUGAGAUACGGCCCAGACUCCUACGGGAGGCAGCAGCAGGGAAUAUUGCGCAAUGGGUGAAAGCCUGACGCAGCAACGCCGCGUGGGGGAUGAAGGCCCUCGGGUCGUAAACCCCUUUUCUCAG
rnacentral:rRNA from 1 species